rnacentral:lncRNA from 1 species
AUCUCGAAUGUCAACAUUAUCAAGCUACAAAAACAAGAUCUAUGAAAAAAGAUUGAUAAGCGCGUAGGUGCAUGUUACAAUACCAAAAGGUCCCAUCUACUCAUUCAAUUUCCUCUUUACCAAAAAGAGGAGAAGGGUAAUUAAACACCAAACAAAAAGCACAAAUAAUAAAAGCUGAAAAAGGAGUAGUAGGGUAAUUAACAACACCAAACCAAAAGCUGCUCACUCACAUUCACUCAUUCAUUCACUCAUUCAUUCACUCUUUACUUCUUUCUUUCCUCUCAUUCAACAACACAAUGAUAGAAGAACAGCAACGCCGUGGACCACCGCACGGCGUUCUCUUAGCAGUGGUGGUAGUAGCAGUCAUGUUAGUACCAACACUGCUAGGAGAAAAUGGUGAAGCCAUUACUGAUUUCAUCUCCGAUCUUCUUACUCCGGUUGGUUUUCUCCUCCUGCCCAUUAUUCUUCUCCUUACUAUACAGUUUCUUUCCUCUGACAGUGGUUCAUUCAUCUCUAGCAUUUUCUCUACCGGUGAACCUAACUCUAUCCACCGUGUUAGUGGGUCCCCCGUCGGCGUUGCGUUGUUUCUUGCCCUCAUAUUGUUCCUUCUCUACAACCGUGUUUCCAUCUUCGGCGGCGAUGAUGAUUCCGGCGACUGACGUUAACAGUAACGCCGUGUUUGGUUAGAUCUAUAUUGUUCGUCAUAUCUUUCGUUGUGGUUGUACCUUUUUCUUUUGGUUUUUUUGAUUUUUUUUUUUUUUGACGUUUACUUUUAAAAUGUUUUUUACGUAAAUAGUGAAGGGUAAACUAUAGUACGGACGUAGUAAAUAUUGUCGACAAGCCCAUGGCAUGUACGGAAAAGUAUGAAACUCCAUGUAAUUUUCCUGAAAUGCCACUAGUGAUAUUGAUUGUAUUGUACGAGUAAGUUUCUAUUGGAUUGAUCUAGCAUUCAACAGCUGCUCUCACCUCAAAUUUUUGCUAUGUUACAAUUUCGAACUAGUUAUAGUUAAUUAUACGA